rnacentral:rRNA from 1 species
UUGAACGCUGGCGGCAGGCCUAACACAUGCAAGUCGCGCGGAUGAAGGGAGCUUGCUCCUGGAUUCAGCGGCGGACGGGUGAGUAAUGCCUAGGAAUCUGCCUGGUAGUGGGGGAUAACGUCCGGAAACGGGCGCUAAUACCGCAUACGUCCUGAGGGAGAAAGUGGGGGAUCUUCGGACCUCACGCUAUCAGAUGAGCCUAGGUCGGAUUAGCUAGUUGGCGGGGUAAAGGCCUACCAAGGCGACGAUCCGUAACUGGUCUGAGAGGAUGAUCAGUCACACUGGAACUGAGACACGGUCCAGACUCCUACGGGAGGCAGCAGUGGGGAAUAUUGGACAAUGGGCGAAAGCCUGAUCCAGCCAUGCCGCGUGUGUGAAGAAGGUCUUCGGAUUGUAAAGCACUUUAAGUUGGGAGGAAGGGCAGUAAGUUAAUACCUUGCUGUUUUGACGUUACCAACAGAAUAAGCACCGGCUAACUUCGUG